AUUGAACGCUGGCGGCAUGCCUUACACAUGCAAGUCGAACGGCAGCACGGGUGCUUGCACCUGGUGGCGAGUGGCGAACGGGUGAGUAAUACAUCGGAACAUGUCCUGUAGUGGAGGAUAGCCCGGCGAAAGCCGGAUUAAUACCGCAUACGAUCCACGGAUGAAAGCGGGGGACCUUCGGGCCUCGCGCUAUAGGGUUGGCCGAUGGCUGAUUAGCUAGUUGGUGGGGUAAAGGCCUACCAAGGCGACGAUCAGUAGCUGGUCUGAGAGGACGACCAGCCACACUGGGACUGAGACACGGCCCAGACUCCUACGGGAGGCAGCAGUGGGGAAUUUUGGACAAUGGGCGAAAGCCUGAUCCAGCAAUGCCGCGUGUGUGAAGAAGGCCUUCGGGUUGUAAAGCACUUUUGUCCGGAAAGAAAUCCUUGACUCUAAUACAGUCGGGGGAUGACGGUACCGGAAGAAUAAGCACCGGCUAACUACGUG
rnacentral:rRNA from 1 species